ACAGGUUGUUUCGAUUUCGAAUAAGGUAUGUCCAUGUGGUAGUUCGUGUGCAUUAAGAGCAACUGAUUUUUUAAGUGAAGUGUAUAGAUAUGUUUGGUGAAUUCGGUUCGGUUUUAAAACCGGUUUGGGCCAAAAAGCGGUUUUAACUGGUUUUUAAAAUCGGUUUGGUUUUUAAACGGCUUACAAAUGUCGCGAAGAAGAACCGCGCUAUAGAUAUGUUAGGUACUAUCACUAUGCAGUUAAUAUCGGUGAUCAGUCCCAGAACUAUUAUAUGUCCGAUGUUCAGAUGCUUGAUACAGGUCUCAAGUUUGACUUUGUUGACCAAGACUUAUAAUUGACCUGAAUUUACCUAAUAAUAUCAACUUUCUUCUUCAUCUUCUUUUUUGUAGAUACGCUUACCUGGACAAAGUUGAUAACCAAUGCCGAGCUAUUGCCACCUAGAGCUGGUCAUACAACCGUUGCAUUGGGCAAGAACUUGCUUGUAUUUGGAGGUUUUACUGACGUUCAAGAUCUUUAUGAUGACUUAUAUAUGUUUGAUCUUGAAACGUUUAGAUGGACCAAGGUUAUUACUUUAGGAGUGGGCCCAUCAGCCAGAUUUUCUAUGGCAGGAAGCACUUUGCAUCCACAGCAUGGAGGCAUUCUUAUAUUCAUGGGAGGCUGCAAUAAGAGUCUCGAGGCACUUGAUGACAUGUUCUACCUACACGCAGACUGCUUCAGUUGGACAUGCCUAAGUUUUCCUUUAUAAUAUAUCUUUCAGACUGCUUCAGUUGGACAUGCCUAAGCUUUCAAGGCACAGGUAAACUUAUUGAGUUUCUUUAGAUAAUCAAUGUUUUAAAUAUACUGUUAUACUAUAUUACUACUAUGAUAAUCUUGUCUUUUAAAUAAGAGUAAAAUACAUGGAUGGUCCUUGUGGUUUAUAUGCGUAUACGCUUACGGGUCUAACUUCUAAGAGCCGUGAAUCAUAUGCUAAUGCUGGCAUCAUUGCUGAACAGGUGAUCAUACCUUUGAAGUUUCCUUAAGUUUUAAACGGUUGAAGCUUUGUUUUUUUUUGUUUUGUUUAUUAUAAAGGGCCUUAACGUUGUUUAUUUUGCUAUUCUUUGUUGAUUCAGAUGGAUAUAUAUUGUAUGGGCAUGCACAUGAUCUCCACAACGGAUAAUGCUCUCAGUUCAAGUGAUCGAAAGGUUGAACGUGAUUAUCCAAGAUAUAGUGAAAGAAAAAGAAGAAGAAAAAGAAAAAGAAAGGUUGAAUGAUAUUAUUGCGGGAUUGGUGGUGGAAAAAGAGAAAUAUAAGGCGGAGAAAGAGGCUAUGAAUGAAAGAAUGGCAAACAUUGAAGCAAUGCUAAAGGCUAGGUUUCAAAACGUAUAAUCAUCGACUUAGGUUUCAAACGUUUAAACACUUUGUUUUGAAUAUGUAUUUUGUUACGGUAACUUUGGUAUUUGAUGUUUCAAGUGAAAUGUUUUAUAUAAAUGUGAAAGU